rnacentral:rRNA from 1 species
GACGAACGCUGGCGGCGUGCCUAAUACAUGCAAGUAGAACGCUGAAGGAGGAGCUUGCUUCUCCGGAUGAGUUGCGAACGGGUGAGUAACGCGUAGGUAACCUGCCUGGUAGCGGGGGAUAACUAUUGGAAACGAUAGCUAAUACCGCAUAACAGUAGAUGUUGCAUGACAUUUGCUUAAAAGGUGCAAUUGCAUCACUACCAGAUGGACCUGCGUUGUAUUAGCUAGUUGGUGAGGUAACGGCUCACCAAGGCGACGAUACAUAGCCGACCUGAGAGGGGGAUCGGCCACACUGGGACUGAGACACGGCCCAGACUCCUACGGGAGGCAGCAGUAGGGAAUCUUCGGCAAUGGACGGAAGUCUGACCGAGCAACGCCGCGGGAGUGAAGAAGGGUUUCGGAUCGUAAAGCUCUGUUGUAAGAGAAGAACGAGUGUGAGAGUGGAAAGUUCACACUGUGACGGUAUCUUACCAGAAAGGGACGGCUAACUACGUG